AAGAAGAAGAAGAAGAAGAAGAAGAAGAAGAAGAAGAGGAAGAAAGAAGAAAGAAGAAAAGAAGAAGAAAAGAAGAGGAACAACAACAAGAACUUCUAAAAUCAGAGGAUAAAGCAUUACCAAGAGUGUUGUACAGGUGGAUCUGUCAGCAGGGUUCUGUUUGCCCUUCAUUGGUGGCAGCCUGAGAACACUCAACUCACAAACCACACAACAUCAGGAUGUAUUUACUCCUCUGAGCUUCACCAUAAGCAAUGGUCCUGUUUCUCCCAAGCAGCUGUAUUUUGUAGACACUGUGAACAUGAAGCUCAGCAUCCGUUUCUUCAAAACUGACCUCCUAUCUCGCCUUGGGAUCCCUCCCUCCUACAUGUGCUCUUGUUAUUGUGAGGCUAUCCACCACCAUGGAGUCUUCAUCAGAAUCCAGCAAAAGCUCUGAACUGUGAGAUAAGUAAAGCUCUUUUCUUAAUAAGAUA